UACGGAGGGGAGCUAGCGUUGUUCGGAAUUACUGGGCGUAAAGCGCACGUAGGCGGAUUUGUAAGUCAGGGGUGAAAUCCCGGGGCUCAACCUCGGAACUGCCUUUGAUACUGCAAAUCUCGAGUCCGGAAGAGGUGAGUGGAAUUCCUAGUGUAGAGGUGAAAUUCGUAGAUAUUAGGAAGAACACCAGUGGCGAAGGCGGCUCACUGGUCCGGUACUGACGCUGAGGUGCGAAAGCGUGGGGAGC
rnacentral:rRNA from 1 species